rnacentral:tRNA from 5 species
GGUCCCUUCGUCUAUCGGUUAGGACGUCAGAUUUUCAAUCUGAAAAGACGGGUUCGACUCCCGUAGGGACCGCCA